UACGGGGGGGGCAAGCGUUGUUCGGAAUUACUGGGCGUAAAGGGCUCGUAGGCGGCCAACUAAGUCAGACGUGAAAUCCCUCGGCUUAACCGGGGAACUGCAUCUGAUACUGGAUGGCUUGAGUUCGGGAGAGGGAUGCGGAAUUCCAGGUGUAGCGGUGAAAUGCGUAGAUAUCUAGAGGAACGCCCAAGGCGAAGGCAGGCAGCUGGGCCAAUUCUGACGCUGAGGCACGAAAGCUAGGGGAGCAAACAGG
rnacentral:rRNA from 1 species